rnacentral:rRNA from 1 species
AGCGGCCGCGGUAAUUCCNCCUUCAANAGCGUAUAUUAAAGUUGUUGCAGUUAAAAAGCUCGUAGUUGAACUUCGGGGUUCACCCAUUGGUCAGGCUUAAUUGUCUGUACUGGUGAGAUGAGUCUCUACCUUCUGAGGAACUUUCAUGCCAUUUAUUUGGNGUGAUUGGAAAUCAGGACUGUUACUUUGAAAAAAUUAGAGUGUUUAAAGCANGCUAACGUCUGAAUACAUUAGCAUGGAAUAAUGAAAUAGGACGGGUUGAUUCUAUUUCGUUGGUUNCUAGGGUCACCGUAAUGAUUAAUAGGGANAGUUGGGGGCAUUAGNAUUCAAUUGUUCNGAGGUGAAAUUCNUGGAUUUAUUGAANACUAACUACUGCNAAAGCAUUUNGCCAAGGAUGUUUUCAUUAAUCCAAGAACNAAAGUUAGGGGGAUCCGAANACAAUCAGAUACCGUNCGCUAGUCGUUAANCCNUAAAACUAUGCCCNGACUAGGGGAUCGGNACGCGNNUUNAUUUUNUANAAAUGGACNGUGGUU